ACAUAAUCGAACCAAAUAACCAGCAUAUAAAACUGAAUAAAAAAUCUAUUAAAUCGCCACAAUAAACAACAAAAUAAAAGAAAAACCAAAAACAAUUUCAUCUCAACUCAAAGAUUUCGUAAAACUCGUUCAAAAUCCUAAGGACCUGGACAAUCGGAUCUAUAAUUAUUUCUCAACGCCAUAGAAAUCAAUUAUAGCAACUGAACACAGCAUACAGACAUCGAAACUGAAACUCAGAAUCAGAAUGCUUGUUAUAGUUAUCUAGUUUAAGUACCAGCCACUCUAAGGAUCGCCACAAUCGUUUAGCUUGGGAACGGGAAUACAAGUUUUUAGUAAAAUUUCUUUACACUAACCAACAUAAUUUUGUAGCUGACGAGGAAAGUUUUUGUUUUUUUCUUUGUUUGUUGAACGCGAUUUGGUAGCAGCACUAAACACCAAACAAAACAAUUCUAACACGAUUACGAAGCAAUUAAUACAAGCGAAUAAUUACUAAUCCUAAAAUUUAAGUGAUGAUGAGGUAACAACGAAACGAAUUAUAUGCAAGAAAUCGACUAAGCUUGAUAUGUAUCCGGAUAACACGAAAGCGCACAUCAAAUACGACUAAUAAUAAUAAUGGUAUAAUAAAUAUUUUGUUAUUUGCGAAAAUCAUUAUUUCAAACAAUUUCACUAUUGACGAUUUUACUUUGUAUUGUGUCAUCAUUAUUUAUUCAUUUAUAAUUAUUAUUAUGUUCGUAUGCAUACGAACGUCUUUUAAAUUUACAUCGAUUUGACUAUUUUUAUUUUAUAUCUAUAUAAAAUAUAUUUUGUGUUGUAUAAUUUCGUAUGCAGUAAACAUUUUUAGUAAAUAAAGAGAAAUAAAGUCAA